UACGGAGGAUGCGAGCGUUAUCCGGAUUUAUUGGGUUUAAAGGGUGCGUAGGCGGGCUUUUAAGUCAGCGGUAAAAAUUCGGGGCUCAACCCCGUCCGGCCGUUGAAACUGGGGGCCUUGAGUGGGCGAGAAGAAGACGGAAUGCGUGGUGUAGCGGUGAAAUGCAUAGAUAUCACGCAGAACCCCGAUUGCGAAGGCAGCCUUCCGGCGCCCUACUGACGCUGAGGCACGAAAGUGCGGGGAUCGAACAGG
rnacentral:rRNA from 1 species